rnacentral:rRNA from 1 species
UACGUAGGGUGCGAGCGUUAAUCGGAAUUACUGGGCGUAAAGCGUGCGCAGGCGGUUUGUUAAGACAGAUGUGAAAUCCCCGGGCUUAACCUGGGAACUGCAUUUGUGACUGGCAAGCUAGAGUAUGGCAGAGGGGGGUAGAAUUCCACGUGUAGCAGUGAAAUGCGUAGAGAUGUGGAGGAAUACCGAUGGCGAAGGCAGCCCCCUGGGCCAAUACUGACGCUCAUGCACGAAAGCGUGGGGAGCAAACAGGAUUAGAGUACCC